UACGACUACAUAUCAGGCAUAUCAAUAAGCGGAGGAAAAGAAACUAACAAGGAUUCCCCUAGUAACGGCGAGUGAAGCGGGAAGAGCUCAAAUUUGAAAUCUUAAAGGGUUUCCCUUUACGAAUUGUAGUUUAAAGAAGUGUUUUCUGUUGGAGUUUCGGUAAAAGUUCUUUGGAAUAGGACAUCAUAGAGGGUGAGAAUCCCGUAUUUGACCGUUACUUUCCAGCUGUGUGAUACACUUUCAAAGAGUCGGAUUAUUUGGGAAUGCAGUCCAAGAUGGGUGGUAAAUUUCAUCUAAAGCUAAAUAUUGGCGAGAGACCGAUAGCGAACAAGUACCGUGAGGGAAAGAUGAAAAGAACUUUGAAAAGAGAGUUAAACAGUACGUGAAAUUGUCAAAAGGGAAGCGUUUGACACCAGUGUUGUUUAGUUGAAAAUCAAUUCAAUAGUUUUUGAUUCUAAGUAGUAUUGACUUCAUCAGCUUGCUGCUUUCUUCUCAGAAAUUAUUGAAUGCACUUUUCAGUUAACAAGUCAACAUCAAUUUCUUUUGUUGUAAAAGGGUAAGAGGAAGGUGGCUUGCGCUUCGGCUCAAGUGUUUAUAGCCUUUUAUCUCUGCAAUCGGAGAGAUUGAGGUCUGCAGCGUAGAUCCUUCGGGGUUAGAUACAUUGGUGCUAAGCUAUAGCCUUGUAUAGACAACUUGUUGACUAUGCUCAGUCAUGUAGCUUACUCGCUGAUGCUAUUUUACCUACGCUUAGGAUGUUGAGUAGCGACAUACGCAC
rnacentral:rRNA from 1 species